UUCCCCGGUUGUGUAAUGGUAGCACCGCAGAUUCUGGUUCUGCUUGUGGGGGUUCGAAUCCUCCCUGGGGAAUAUG
rnacentral:tRNA from 1 species